UGAGCAAUCUGCCCUUCUCAUCGGAAUAAGCGUUGGAAACGACGUCUAAUGCCGAAUACGACCUCCUUUCGCAUGAUCGGAGGUGGAAAGCUCCGGCGGAGAAGGAUGAGCUCGCGGCCUAUCAGCUAGUUGGUGUGGGUAAUGGCCCACCAAGGCGACGACGGGUAGCCGGCCUGAGAGGGUGACCGGCCACACUGGGACUGAGACACGGCCCAGACUCCGUACGGGAGCA
rnacentral:rRNA from 1 species